rnacentral:rRNA from 1 species
GAUGAACGCUGGCGGCGUGCCUAAUACAUGCAAGUCGAACGAACAGACGAGGAGCUUGCUCCGCUGACGUUAGCGGCGGACGGGUGAGUAACACGUGGAUAACCUACCUAUAAGACUGGGAUAACUUCGGGAAACCGGAGCUAAUACCGGAUAAGAUAUUGAACCACAUUGUUCAAUAGUGAAAGACGGUGUUUCGGUCACGUAUAGAUGCAUCCGCGCGGCAUUAGCUAGUUGGUAAGGUAACGGCUUACCAAGGCAACGAUGCGUAGCCGACCUGAGAGGGUGAUCGGCCACACUGGAAGGGAGACACGGUCCAGACUCCUACGGGAGGGAGCAGUCGGGAAUCUUACGCAAUGGGCGAAAGCAUGACGGAGCAAGCGCGAGUGAGUGAUGAAGGUCUUCCGAUCGGAAAAAUCUGUUAUUAGGGAAGAACAAAUGUGUACGUAACUAUGGAGGUAUUGACGGUAACUAGUAAGAAAGCAACGGCUAACUACGUG